rnacentral:sRNA from 1 species
AGAGGAAUAUUGUUACAUGCAGCACAACCAUAUCUUGAUCUUGGAGCUCUACCUUUAUUUUGCUCUGUUCUCUUUCUUUUAUACUGACACCAGGCACAAGCUCAAGGUCCUGACAGAGGAAUUUGAUGGUGAUUUUGAUCUGAAUUUGAUCGAGUAGUAGGUAGAGGAUUUGAGAAUUCCAGGAGUUGAAGAUAAAGCUGCUGACAGAAUUCAACAUGGGAUAUAGUAAUGCCAGUGCUAAGUAGUGCCAGUAGUGCUAGCAGUGCCAGUAGUAGCCAGUUGAUGAAGAAUAUAAGCAUUGAAAAUAGCAUGAUCAAUAAUCCAGUAUAGAAUUGACAACCACG